AGGGGUGUAGUUCAGUGGUUGAGCACUUGCUUAGCAUGCAUGAGGCCCUGGGUUUGAUCCUCAGCAUCGCAA
rnacentral:tRNA from 1 species